rnacentral:rRNA from 1 species
GACGGAGGAUGCAAGUGUUAUCCGGAAUCACUGGGCGUAAAGCGUCUGUAGGUUGUUUAAAAAGUCUGCAGUUAAAGGUUGAAGCUUAACUUCAAAAAUGCCGUAGAAACUUUUAAACUAGAGGAUGGUAGGGGUAGAGGGAAUUUCCAGUGGAGCGGUGAAAUGUGUAAUAUUGGUAAAGACCACCGAUGGCGAAGGCACUCUACUGGGCCAUGACUGACACUGAGAGACGAAAGCUAGGGGAGCAAAUGGG